AAUUUCGUCUUUCCUAUUGCAGGUUCAUUCCAGCUCAGUGUGGUAAUCUGCAGCAAUCAAGUUAACAAAUCUUAGUUGAAGUAUGUGUUCUAAAUUUUCGGUGGUGAUUUUUUUGUGACUAGACCAAAUCAAAACUGAAGUAUGUAUUCUGAAUUUUGUUCAUAUGACUAGAUGCAUAUGAACUGAAGCUCCGUCAUUCUUUCUAAGGUGAUAGUGGUCGCAACCAGCUAAAAUUAGGGGCUAUAAAGGAACUAUAAAAAAUAUUUGAACUGCUGGCAAUGUCGAUGUAAACACGGGCAUUUAACCAGCAGAUUUUGAUUUAACUAUAACUAUCUAUUGACACAAGGCUAAAAAAAGAGUGGAAUUGAUUUGUAAGCAAUUCUUCUUGAGAUAGACUUUCUGGGUAGUUUGUUGCAAGUAUAUAACCUGGAACUUCAGUUCGAGAUAUACAACUGACAAUCUAUGAUCACUACGACAAUUUAGAUUGGUUAGCAAAAUUUCUUAGGCGGUGAGACUUAUGCAAGUAGCUAAGGCUACAAAUAGAUGAGCAUUGGCCAUGAUUAGCAGCACCGCAUCAGGAGGGCAUUCGUCCUGGAAGUGUGGUCGGGGCUGACUGGGGAUGAUUAUUUUUUCGGUGGUAAGGGAUGAUUGAACACAUGUGAGUGUCUUCUCAACUUGGCGUUGCUUCUAAUGUGUUGGACACUGAUCCAAGUUUGCAGUGAGCUGAGAUGCAUCUUUGAAAAUCUCAGCAGAGAGAUGCUAAUUCUCCAUGAUUAUUAACUUGAUGUCGGAAAUCUUAAUUUCGUCUUUCCUAUUGCAGGUUUAUUCCAGCUCGAUGUGGUAAUCUGCAGCAAUCAAGUUAACAAAUCUUAACUGAAGUAUGUGUUCUAAAUUGCCGGUGGUGAUUUUUUUUCUGACGAGACCAAAACAAACUGAAGUAUGCAUUCUGAAUUUUGUUCAUAUGACUAGAUGCAUAUGAACUGAAGCUCAGUCAUUCUUUCUAAGGUGAUAGUGGUUGCAACCAGUUAAGAUUAGGGGCUUUAAAGGAACUAUAAAAAAUAUGUGAACUGCUGGCAAUGUCGAUGUAAACACGGGCAUUUAACCAGCAAAUUUCGAUUUAACAAUAACUAUCUGUUGACACAAGGCUAAAAAAAGAGUAGAAUUGAUUUGUAAGCAAUUCUUCUUGAGAUAGAGACUUUCUGGGUAGUUUGCUACAAGUAUAUAACCUGGAACUUCAGUUCGAGAUAUACAACCGGCAAUCUAAGAUCACUACGACAAUCUAGAUAGGUUAGCAAAAUUUCUUAGGCGGUGAGACUUAUGCAAGUAGCUAAGACUACAAAUAGAUGAGUGUUGGCCAUGAUUAGCAGCACCACAUCAGGAGGGCAUUCGUCCUAGAAGUGUGGUCGGGGCCGACUGGGGAUGAUUAUUUUUUCGUGGGCAAGGUAUGAUUGAACACAGGUGAGUGUCUUCUCAACUUGGUGUUGCUUCUAAUGUGUUGGACACUGAUCCAAUUCUGCGGCGAGCUGAGAUGCAUCUUUGAAAAUCUCCUGAGAGGUCUGAAUUAGUCCAAGCCUAUGCAGAAUGCCUACAUAUGCCACUUGAACUUUGGAGGGGUAGACUGAUGGAUCGUUGGGCUGGGAUGAAGUUUCAUAUAGUGUGUUUUGUCACGAGAAGAAAUGCAAACGAAAACACAAUUACCUUACAUUGUUAAUGUAUAUGGUAUGAAGAAAACGGAACUUGUUUUACCUCUUUUUUUUUUCUAAUUUGUAACUCUUCUUACCUAUAUUUGGCAGAGGUACAAUGGUUAUUGACUUGUACUCCCUCCGUUCCAAAAUAGAUGACCCAAAAGGGAGUACGUUCUAUUUCUGACCCAACAAAUCUAAUAUGCAAGGAUAACAAUAAAAUCAGAAUGAUCAAAAGUUAAAACACAUGUGCAUGCUUCAUGAGUUAUGUAUACUUCUGAAUCUAUUUUUACCUCUACUAUCUGAUACGUUGAAUAGUGCAUGCUCUGCUCUUGCAUGCCACAUCUGCCUGUACUAUGCUGUUAUUUAUGAUUUCGGGGGAACUGAUAUCUUGAUUAUAGGAAGUGGAGAGGAAAACCCCUGAUCAGUAGGGAGUACAGGAUAACGUGGUCCAGCUCACCAUCCUAGGCUGCAGGCUGGUUUGGUAACAAGCGGAGACAGACUAAGGAAAAGGUGCCAAUGAUGGAGGUGUGUGUAGACAUGGAAGACCUUGCCACUAAGAGCUUCUUGCGAGGGCAAGAGGUAAACUGACGCUGAGUGUUGUGAUCUGUGGGGAGUAGUGUGAGGUGUCCAGUGAAGGGACAUGAUUCAGGCAAGUAACUGUUACUAUAGGAAAAGUCCCUUUGUACACUAAGUCCCUUUAAAGUGAUGUGCAUAGCACAAUAAAAUAGGAAAAGUUUAACCUUUGUUUUAGUUUGAUUUUCUCGGCUAUACUAUAUUUGGUUUUCCUUUAUGUUUUCUGAGGUUGCAAAAGCCUUUGUAGCGAUCAAAGAUGAGGAGCAACAAUCAUUGUUAUUGCACCGUGUGUAUUUUUCCUCACUUCUAAAUAAGAAAUUCAGUACGGUAUCAUCUUUCGUGGUAGGUGAGAACAACAUUAUUUGUAAA
rnacentral:lncRNA from 1 species